rnacentral:rRNA from 1 species
ACUCAAAUGAAUAGACGGGGGCCCGCACAAGCGGCGGAGCAUGCGGAUUAAUUCGAUGCAACGCGAAGAACCUUACCUGGGUUUGACAUAUAGAGAAAUCCAUCAGAGAUGGUGGGUCCGUAAGGGUUCUAUACAGGUGGUGCAUGGCUGUCGUCAGCUCGUGUCGUGAGAUGUUGGGUUAAGUCCCGCAACGAGCGCAACCCUCGUCUUAUGUUGCCAGCACGUUAUGGUGGGGACUCAUAAGAGACCGCCGGGGUCAACUCGGAGGAAGGUGGGGAUGAGGUCAAGUCAUCAUGCCCCUUAUGUCCAGGGCUUCACGCAUGCUACAAUGGCCGGUACAAAGGGCUGCGAUACCGUAAGGUGGAGCGAAUCCCAAAAAGCCGGUCUCAGUUCGGAUUGGGGUCUGCAACUCGACCCCAUGAAGUCGGAGUCGCUAGUAAUCGCAGAUCAGCAACGCUGCGGUGAAUACGUUCCCGGGCCUUGUACACACCGCCCGU